AAAGAGGAGAAAGAAACCGGCGGUGGCAUUUUCCAAAAUUAGCUUGCAUCUCUGUCCUUUUUUUGACAUUGCCCUAUUCUAUGCCCCAUGAACUUGGUGAUGCUCGAUAUAACAUAUUCCUUGACAUAUUGACUUCUGUGACCUUUGCUUAAAGCAAUAUUGACUUGUUAUUGGAGUAUUGCUCAUGUUGGAUGAGAAAAAACACAACCACAUUGAUGCAAAGAAUAUGAUUGCUCAAAUGGUGGUUUACUUUCGAGUAAGGUUGUCAUUUCUUCAAUAUCCGGUAUCUCUCUCUAGAGUAUAUGUACUUGGAAACUGAGAUAUAGAUUUUUGGAUUUACCUCAUACGGACUUCUUUUAUAGAUUUUUUUAAUAAUCUGUCUUGUCUAGGAUGCUUUGGUGAGACUUAAUGAUGUCAUUAUACAAGAGAAAUCAGAUGGGAAAUCCAAAAUAAUAUAUCUCAGUUAUUAAAGAUUUUAAUGAUGUCAUUAAAGAAGUGCCAAGAUGGGAAAAGAUAUUGAAGUUUCAUGUAGCAGUGAGAGAACAUACAAGCACUUGUGCAGCAGUGGGAGGAAACAACUCUGGGGGGCCAUCAUAUUUGCCAAAACCUGUCAACUCCAUUCAAUGCAUCCAAAUCAGAGUGAAGAAACUCUUCCAGUAAUCACUGAAGCAGUCAACAGAAAACUGGAUAAGAUGAUCAUAGAAGGAGAUUUUCUAGUGCUAACCACAGCAUUUCAAAAAUGCCCACAUAAACUUCGUUUCUCAUAGACCAUAUAUGUUGAUACCAAUCACUGACAUUUGCUAAUUGCUGGAAUUUCCAUCGACAAAAACUCAUGAUAUCUCAGUUGGUGUUGUUUUAGCUAUAAAUUAUUCUUAGGGGUUCUAGCUGAUUAUUCA